rnacentral:tmRNA from 1 species
GGGGCUGACCGGUUUUGACAGCGGGUAGAAAGGGUUUGUAAGCAUGCAGUGCGUUGUCGGUUUGCACUUGAAUCUCAAACGUCAAACCAUUAACUGGCAAUAAUAAUUACGCUCUUGCUGCGUGAUCGAAUAACAGUAGAUCAAUCGCUUAAUCCUGUCACAGGUGAUAGGACAAGACAUCACCCGGAAGCUGUGGCUUCGAAGCGUUUCGAUACGGUGGUGCAGGUAAAUCGGAGAUAGGGUAGGCGGCGCUUCGACGCUUGUCCGAAAUUUAAGAAGCUAAGGUUUGAGUGGGUGGCUUCAGUCUUGCUCAUUCCCGACAAUUAAAAUGGAGAUAAGCAUGUAGAAAGCAAAUUAUUUCCUCGUUUGGACGAGGGUUCAAGUCCCUCCAGCUCCACUG